AAACGUACCCCACAAAUUGUAUCAUCUCUGUCAGCGGCGGCCGCGACGUCUGCUUUGCUUCCGAGUGGCGCGAACGCAUUGAUCCUUCCUUUCUCGAAUCUCGACUCUCCACCGUCCCGCGCCUCUUUCCCUAGUUCCAGGCUUCCAGCUGGCCGUUGUGCUGCUUGUACAGAGAGAGGCUGGCGGCCGGGCCGGGUCGGGCGCACGUGAUCUUCUGCUGUUCUGGAGGCGCCGGUGGCCGCCGCCUCAGGUUGCUUCGCCAGCGCGCCGUGCCGGCGGGGGAGAUGACAGAUUCGCGCACCUUAUCGCCACCCGCCGAAGAAACCUCCUGCGCGUCGCCCGGACCCGCGUGUCCGCCAGGCGCUCGACCUAAUGCCGCGGCGCCCCCACGGCAUUCCUCCAAUCUUUAUAUGAAGGUUAGUUUUUAUAUGAAGGAGAACCGUACAUCAAUCCAAGCCGAGUUCUAUCCCGAGGUAAUCCUGAGCCUCUCUUUCAGUCUUCCAUUCUUGUUCUCGCACUAUUGGUGCCACUGAAAUCGCCUGGGAGGACAGCAUCGCAUCCCAGCUGCCACUGCUGUUCUCGAAAUCGGGUCGUGCAAAUAAGCUUCUUGCCUUCAGGCUUAAUAUACAGCUUCUUUAUUUGGGGAACUGUACAUGCUUCACAGGAUUGGUGGCUACUACAAUUUUUUUUCUUGCCUUGUUCUAAUGCAGUGUCGCCUUAAGCUGUAGCAGUUAGAUGUCCCUCAGCAAGACCGUUGCAUACUAAAUUCGUCAGCUGAGGUUUUCUAGUUUUUUCUGCAAGCCAGAGAAGACUUAGCAAAUCUGAAGAAUCAUCAUAAGAAAAUAAAAUGAGGGCAUCAAUAGCUAGUGCUUAUCUUUUUUUUUUUUUUUGCCUUUGUUGUUUAAAGAUGCAUUUUUGCUGCUUAGGUAUGUUAAUUAUUACGACACUUGUCAAAUGGUUAUUCUGCUAUGGUUAACUGAUGUGUUAUUUCUGACAACUGUUGGUUUCCUACUUCCUCCAUGUAGGAACCUAAUAUAUUUUGUCACUAAAGAGUAGAAUAACUAUUUGGACCGUUAUUCUAGUUACAGUACACUAUAGUCAACUGAAUACCUCAUUCUGUUGGUAUAUAUUUUUAUUAAUACUGUUAGAUUUUUUUUUACCUAAUAUCGGGCUAUAUAGAAUUAUAGAUAAACAGCUUUAAAUGGCUUUUUAACUUUCAGAGAUUAUGUGAGAUUUAACUUGGGGAAAAUGACCAUAUGCUGCACAAUUUUACCUAAGGUUGCAUCCAUAUCCUGUUUCUUUGUUCUGUAAGAUUCCCAUCUAACUAUUUGUACAUGUUUAAACCAAAUAAUAGAAACUGGAAUGCUAAAAGACCAUAAUGUACUCAAGAAGACCAGCACUGUUUCUGGCAAUACAAGCAAUAUGUUCUGUCCCUUUAUUGAGGGCUUUGAUAUCAAAUUCAUAGCUUCAGAAUUAAUUUAUUGAGUUCCUAUUUGAAGCGUAUUGGCACUUCUUUCAAGUACAAAGCAAAAACUCCAUAUCAAAGAUGAGCUUCAGAUCCAUCGAACAGUUACUUAGGAGGAACAGCAAAACCAAAAUUUCUCGCAAUAUUGUUGACGGUGUCCAUGACCAGAAGGAAGAGCAGUUAGUGCAAUCCUUGAGGGAGUUACUUCUUGCAAGCAAUCAGCUCCCAGAUAAAUUUGAUGACUACUAUGUCCUUCUACGCUUUCUUAGAAUGAGAGGCUUCAACAUCUUAAAAGCAAAAGAGAUGUUCUUAAAUAUGUUAAAAUGGCGUGAAGAUUGUUCUGUUGAUGCCAUCGCAAACGAUUUUAAAUUUGAGGAGUAUGAUGCUGUGAAAAGAUGCUAUCCUCAUGGAUUUCAUGGAGUUGACAGAUUUGGCAGGCCUCUAUAUAUCGAACGGGUUGGCUUGGUGGAUCUCAGUAAGCUCGUGCAAGUGACUAGUAUUGAUCGAUAUGUAAAAUAUCAUAUAUCAGAACAAGAGAAAACUAUGUCUUUGAGAUAUCCUGUUUGCUCACUUGUGGCUAAAAGGCACAUAGCCUCGACAACAGCCAUAUUUGAUGUGAAAGGACUGGGUUUGAAUAACUUUUCAAAAUCUGCAAGAGAGAUGUUCGCAGAGAUCCAAAAGAUCGAUAGCAAUUACUAUCCAGAGACAUUAAAUCAACUUUAUAUAAUUAAUGCUGGAACUGGAUUUAGAGCACUGUGGAAAGUAUUGAAAGCAUUCAUGGAGGCAAGAACGUUAGCAAAGGUUCAGGUUCUGGGGACCAAUUACCUUAACACAGUAUUAAAAGCUGUUGACCCAAGCAAUUUACCAGACUUUUUAGGCGGAACAUGCACUUGUCCAACAGGAGGAUGCUUACUCCAAGAUAAAGGACCCUGGACUGACCCAGAAAUGGUUCGUGCUUCUAAGGAAGCAUUUGGUAAAGGUCAGAAGUCUUUCAAUGAAUUGACUGCCACAAUUGCCUGUGAAAGCUUUACAGGUUGUCAGGAGCCUUCCGCAAAACAAGUAGAUUCCACUUCUCGUAAGAAAAGAACUCUUGGCAUGUUGUUAAAAGAUGACCAGGUUGGAAUUGAUACAGGUGAAAAUACUCUACGGAAACAAGUCGAUGAACAGAUCUCGGAUAAGAUCCGAGAACUUGAACACUGUGCUGCUCAGAGUAAGGAGUUCAGACCCUGCAGACACUAAUAUGUAAGCAACAAGAACUCACUGGCCACAUCGAACAGCUGAGAAAAAUCCUUCAGGAUGGCGUGGGUGCAGAUAUGAAAUGAAAGCCAACAUACAAAACUCGAAGUAAAUUAGUGCUUGCCGAAGGUGAAGAAAGCCAAAAGGGACAAGAAACGAACCCAUCGUUGUAAUGUAAUAAAGAAGAAAUAUGCACUAGUUUUCUGUGAUGAGUCUUUAACCCCUAUGAGCUGUUAAAAAACUCAGUUGUGAAUGUCAUAGUAUUAUUCUCGCAACGCCUGUCUGCGGCUGUCUGGACGUCCUCUCAGAAGUCCUGUACCAUGUUAAAUAAAUGUUACUCAUGUAAUUUACCGUCAUGAGAUUUAAUUCAAGUCACACAUCUCAAAUCA